rnacentral:rRNA from 1 species
AGCCAACCCUAGCCCAAAAACACACAGCCCGCUUGCUAGCCAGAAUCCACUCUUAAACGAAACUAAAACAUUCUCCCUAAGCCUAGUAUAGGCGAUAGAAAAGCUUCCUCUACAUGGCGCGAUAGAAACUUUGUACCGUAAGGGAAAGAUGAAAUAAUAAUGAACAAACCCAGCAAACAACAGCAAAGACUAACCCUUGUACCUUUUGCAUCAUGAUUUAGCAAGAACAACCAAGCGAAACGCAUUUAAGCUUGCCCUCCCGAAACUCGAGCGAGCUACUUACAAGCAGCUAUUCACUGAGCAAACCCGUCUCUGUCGCAAAAGAGUGGGAUGACUUGUCAGUAGAGGUGAAAAGCCAACCGAGCCGAGUGAUAGCUGGUUGCCUGUGAAAUGAAUCUCAGUUCUCUCUUGACCUUCCUCUACGGACGCUCAUCCAAACCUUACACGAAGCAAGUCAAGAGCCACCCAAAGGAGGUACAGCUCCUUUGAAAAAGACUACACCCUCCCCUAGCGGAUAAACCUACCACCCACCCCCCAUAUACCCCCUGUGGGCCUUCAAGCAGCCAACAACAAAGAAUGCGUCAAAGCUCCAUGCAAAAAAUAUAAAAUCCAAUAAGACUCCCUCCACCCAACUAACAGGCUAAUCUAUUACGAUAGAUGAAUUAAUGCUAAAAUGAGUAACUUAGGGCCCUACCCCCUCCACGGCGCAAACUUACAUUCAACUAUUAUUAACAAGCCCAAACAACUUAUACCCCAAACCCCAAACAGGAGCCAGUAUUAAACAUCUCUGUUAGCCCCACCCAGGAGCGCCCGCCAGAAAGACUAAAAUCUGUAAAAGGAACUAGGCAAACCAAGGCCCGACUGUUUACCAAAAACAUAGCCUUUAGCCCCCCAAGUAUUAAAGGUGAUGCCUGCCCAGUGACAUUGUUUAACGGCCGCGGUAUCCUAACCGUGCGAAGGUAGCGCAAUCAAUUGUCUCAUAAAUCGAGACUUGUAUGAAUGGCUAAACGAGGUCUUAACUGUCUCUUACAGAUAGUCAGUGAAAUUGAUCUCCCUGUGCAAAAGCAGGAAUAAACCCAUAAGACGAGAAGACCCUGUGGAACUUAAAAAUCAAAGGCCACACAUGCAAACUCCACCCCUACUUGGCCUACCCACACAAUAAUGUUGGCCCAUAUUUUUUGGUUGGGGCGACCCCGGAGAAAAACAAAACCUCCAGAAACAAGACCACCCCUCUUGACCAAGAGUAACCCCUCAACGUACUAAUAGUGACCAGACCCAAUAAAAAUUGACCAAUGGACCAAGCUACCCCAGGGAUAACAGCGCAAUCCCCUCCAAGAGCCCCCAUCGACGAGGAGGUUUACGACCUCGAUGUUGGAUCAGGACAUCCUAGUGGUGCAGCCGCUACUAAGGGUUCGUUUGUUCAACGAUUAACAGCCCUACGUGAUCUGAGUUCAGACCGGAGCAAUCCAGGUCGGUUUCUAUCUAUGACAGACUUUCCCCAGUACGAAAGGACAGGGACAAGUGGGGCCAAUACUGCAAGUACGCCUCCUACUCUAAGCAAUGAACCAAACUAAAUUGCCAAAGAUUCACACACAACCACGUCCUAGAAAAGGACCAA